GGGCCCGCACAAGCGGUGGAGCAUGUGGUUUAAUUCGAUGCAACGCGAAGAACCUUACCUACCCUUGACAUCCCAGGAAGCUUGCAGAGAUGCGAGUGUGCCUUCGGGAACCUGGUGACAGGUGCUGCAUGGCUGUCGUCAGCUCGUGUCGUGAGAUGUUGGGUUAAGUCCCGUAACGAGCGCAACCCUUGUCCUUAGUUACCAUCACUUCGGGUGGGGACUCUAAGGAGACUGCCGGUGACAAACCGGAGGAAGGUGGGGACGAUGUCAAGUCAUCAUGGCCCUUAUGAGUAGGGCUACACACGUGCUACAAUGGUCGGUACAGAGGGCAGCGAAGCUGCGAAGUGGAGCGAAUCUCACAAAACCGAUCGUAGUCCGGAUUGCAGUCUGCAACUCGACUGCAUGAAGCUGGAAUCGCUAGUAA
rnacentral:rRNA from 1 species